AUCUUACAUUUGCCUAGCCUCUGUACAUCCUCGAGAAGGGCAUUGCGGUUCCCAUUUUAAAGAUGAGAACACUAAAGUUCGAAAGGCUUACGUAGCGUCACGAUCUCUAACCUUGCGGAGAAAGACACUGGCUCCAAAGUCCCUUUUAACCUGACACCAUGUUGCCAAAUGUUUGUCAACCCGUCUAAAGCACCUACUGUGUGACAGUCUAUUCUGGUCAGAGGACACGGUCGUGAUGACUGACGGGACGCUGAGGAAAAGACGGUUCUUGCCUUCAACAAGCUUUCAGUCUAGUAACUUUUGUUUCAAGAAAAAUUCAGGCCUGCCAAGCCCGGGGUGGUGGUUUCUGACUCAGAGGCCAUCUGGGGAAUUGAAAUUUGCGGAGCUUUCUUUCUUUCUCGUGCUGUGCUGGGUGGGAGGAGCCGGGGAAACACGAAGUGACCCAGCAACUGCAGGCAGUACAGGCCGACCGGCAGGCUGCCUGGAAAUGGGCGGGGCCUGGCCCUGGGGAGCUGUCGCCAUGGCAACCCAGCCUGUUUCCAGAACAACGUCUCUAACCAGGAAAACAGCUCCCAGGGCCUCCCCCUCUGUAAUCCGCAAAGCGGACUGAAGGCACAAAGCCUCCUUCUGAUCCCGCUCCCCACACGAGGCCAGAACAAAGCCAGGCCUUUGUUCUCUGGGCCCCGGCUUUGUGUGUGUGGCCUGCGACAACAUCCACAAAGCACAAUGACUUCGCUUCUUCCCGAGGCCUCUUUCUUUCACAUCGUAUUUACUGUAAUUUUGGUUUAGCCCCAUUUUACAGAUGCAAGCUCAACAAACGUGAAGGGGCCUAACGUCUAAAACGAUCCUUAAAACCCAGAGACUGUUCAGGCCACCGAGUGACUGCAUCCUGUGCACGGAAGGUUGUCACCACCUCCGCUGAGCCAGCGUGUGACCUCCCAGAAACUGAGCACCGGGGACGGCCUCCACCCUCAAGAUCGGGAACACCGACAGCUCCAAGACGUAGGAUUAUCCCGAAAUGGCCACCUUUACAAAUAAUGUAAAUAUUUAAAUUAUGUGGAUCAGAAGGAAUGCGACUUCAUCGUAAUAAAAAUCUCGCCCUCAAAAUAGAGGGUACUUCACACAUGUAAUCCCAGCACACUCAGAUGCUGAGGCAGAAGGCUUGUCGAGAGUUCCGGGCCAGCCUGGGCUACACAGCAAGACCCUGUCUCAAAGAACACACCUUGGCCGUACAGAAAAACAUGAAGGGAAAACACUGUUGUUCCCCCAGGAACACUUCAAAGGCUUCAAACAAUACUCUCCACCCAGGCGUUAGGGAUUUCCUUGCUCUAAGAUAACUUAUUGGUAAGAAAUGUCCCCACCCAGCCCCAGGGAACAAUAGAGAAGCACUCCCUGAGAGCCCUCAAAAGGCUUUCAUUGGAUAAGUGUUGAUACUAAAUUAAACCCUCACUUCCAAGAACAA